AGAUGAGUUCUCCCUGAGACCUUGAGUCUCCUGAAGGAACGUUGAAGACGACGACGUUGAUAGGUCGGGUGUGUAAGCGCAGCGAUGCGUUGAGCUAACCGAUACUAAUGAACCGUGAGGCUUAACCUUACAACGCCGAAG
rnacentral:rRNA from 1 species